CCUACGGGCGGCAGCAGUCGGGAAUAUUGCUCAAUGGAGGAAACUCUGACGCAGUGACGCCGCGUAUGGGAAGACGGUUUUCGGAUUGUAAACUCUUUUCGUUAGGGAAGCUAACAGACUGUACCUAAGGAGGAAGCCCCGUCUAACUAUGUGCCAGCAGCGGCGGUAAUACAUAGGGGGCAAGCGUUAUCCGGAAUUAUUGGGUGUAAAGGGUGCGUAGACGGAAGAACAAGUUGGUUGUGAAAUCCCUCGGCUCAACUGAGGAACUGCAACCAAAACUAUUCUCCUUGAGUGUGGGAGAGGAAAGUGGAAUUCCUGGUGUAGCGGUGAAAUGCGUAGAUAUUAGGAGGAACACCAGUGGCGAAGGCGACUUUCUGGACGAUAACUGACGUUGAGGCACGAAAGUGUGGGGAGCAAACAGGAUUAGAUACCCGAGUAGUC
rnacentral:rRNA from 1 species